UCGAACGUGGUGGCAGCAGCUGGGGUAAGACGUAGGUGGCGAGGGUUAGCUGGAGUUACUGUGCGUAAAGUGGUCGCAGGUGGUUGAGGAAGUUGGGUGUGAAAUGUCUUGGCUUAACGGGGAGGGGACGCUCAAGACUGCUCGGCUUGAGGUCGAGAGAGGGGUGCAGAAUUCCCGGUGUAGUGGUGGAAUGCGUAGAUAUCGGGAGGAACACCAGUGGCGAAGGCGGCUCUCUGGGCAGAUACCGACGCUGAGACGCGAAAGCGUGGGGAGCAAACAGGAUUAGAUACCCCGGUAGUC
rnacentral:rRNA from 1 species